GAUGAACGCUGGCGGCGUGCCUAAUACAUGCAAGUCGAGCGAACGGACGAGAAGCUUGCCUGUCUUAUGUUAGCGGCGGACGGGUGAGUAACACGUGUCUAACCUACCUAUAAGGCUGGGAUAACGUCGGGAAACCGGAUCUCACACCGGUUAAUAGUUUGAACCGCAUGGUUCAUCAGUGAAAGCCGGUCUUGCUGUCACUAAUAGAUGUAUCCACGCUGCAUUAGCUAGUUGGUAAGGUAACGGCUUACCAAGGCAACGAUGCGUAGCCGACCUGAGAGGAUGAUCAGCCACACUGGAACUGAGACACGGUCCAGACUCCUACGGGAGGCAGCAGUAGGGAAUAUUCGGCAAUGGGCGAAAGCCUGACGGAGCAACGCCGCGUGAGUGAAGAAGGUCUUCGGAUCGUAAAGCUCUGUUAUUAGGGAAGAACAUAUGUGUGAGUAACUGUGCACGUCUUGACGGUACCUACUCAGAAAGCAACGGCUAACUACGUG
rnacentral:rRNA from 1 species